UACGGAGGGUGCAAGCGUUAAUCGGAAUUACUGGGCGUAAAGCGUGCGCAGGCGGUUUGUUAAGUCUGCUGUGAAAUCCCCGAGCUCAACUUGGGAAUUGCAGUGGAUACUGGCAAGCUGAAGUACGGUAGAGGAAGGUGGAAUUCCCGGUGUAGCAGUGAAAUGCGUAGAGAUCGGGAGGAACACCAGUGGCGAAGGCGGCCUUCUGGACCAGUACUGACGCUCAUGCACGAAAGCGUGGGGAGCAAACAGG
rnacentral:rRNA from 1 species